rnacentral:lncRNA from 1 species
UAGUCUCGAUCACCCAGACGCAUUAUGAAUAUAGCGUCUGGAUUUUUGUGACUUUGGAUUUCGUUCAUAGAUGGCGUUUUAAAAUUUGGUAAUGACCUUGACCACAUCUUCCCGGAAGAUAAACACUUCAAGAAUAUGGAUGAAAACAUGCGGCAGUGGUAGACCAGAGUUGAGAGUUUCAGUGUAAAAUGAAACUUUUAAACAGCAUGGAAACUGGAAGAAACUAGACAAUUAACUUAUUAAGGUUCAUGUGUACGAAUGUUUCUUUUAAUAGGGUAGGUAAAAGGUAGGUUUUUUUACUAGAAAAAAGGGGGGGGGACUCUCAUAGAGGUGUACAGUAGGUUGUAAUCAUGGAUUAGUUUGCAAAAUCCUUGUAACAACUAGUAUCAUAAAAUAAGAUGUUUAGAUAUUAUGUAGUUUUAAAUAUUUUACCUUAUGCAUCGAUCACUGAAAUCUGAGACUACUAUAACUGUAUAAGUGUGUCUCAUUGGGGUCUAAGCAGUACAUAGGAUUGCCAUUUUUUGUAAGCGUGACUCGUGAAAGUCAAAUUAUUGUGACGUGAAAACCAGAAAUGAAGUACAUAGUGUAAGCGGGAUAUGGGAAUGUGACAAAUCAGUAAGUGGGAUCCGUGAUCAGAACCCCCCCAAUGAGACCCCCUAUAACACAGUAGUCUCAGCUGAAAUGCGCAUUUGCCAUGAUUUGCCAUUUGGUAAAUAGAAUAGAAAGGAAUAGAAUACUUUAAUUCACCAAAUUAUGGCCCAGGAGGGCAUAUAGCAUACAAACAAUAUUAUUAUAAACAAUAACAUAUGCAGUACACAAACAAUAAAUAUGUAACAUGUGUAAUAAAAAUAUAUAAAUACUACAGGAAACAUGGGUAAUACACCCAACAAAAUAGCAAUAUAUAAUAAUUUAAUUAGUACUGUGUUGACAUUGACCCUAGAGCACCAGGUUAGUGUAUUUUCACUAUAAAAAUUCAAACAAGAGGCAUGAGAAGUUUAUGUGGAAAAAUCUCAAUAUAAAAAAAAAAAAAGGAUAUUUAAUAUGACUAAUCUGCAGUAAGCACCAAGAAUUGAUACUUAAAAGGAAGUCCCUUCUUGUACUUAAUGCAGAUGAGUCAAACUUCUUAAAUAUAUAAAAUAUAUAUUUUAAACACAUAUUUUUAAGAUUAUAGAUACUGUGUCCAGUCAGCAAAGAUCUUCAAGGGACGGUGCAAGAGAAUAUGAAAUUCUUAGAAUAAGACAAGUUAUCCUCAUGCUAUAUAUGAGGAGGGGCAAAAGGGGGUCUGUUAACAUGUUAACAACACCUUGAUAUUUUGGCAAAAACAGUUAACAAAAAAUGCAAAAAUACUGAUAACAGUUACGUAACAUAAUGAUUUCCCCCCCCCCCCCUAUAUGGAUUAUGCCAAUUAGAAUGCAUAGUGGUCCUAAAUUCCAUUUGAAAAAAACAUGCCUAAGGAAGACUUUAUACAUGUAUGAUGUAUAUACAAAAACAUUUGACGAAAAAUUAUAAACAACAGAGUGAAGAGGGUGGUAUUCAUGGUAACUUUAUGAAACUAACAAUUAAACAAAUACAGGUUUACCGUUGUAACAAUUGUUGAUUGCCAUAAAAGGCUGAUUAAUUAGUAUUGAGAAUGAAAUAAAAAAAAUAUGUCCAACAGAAUACAAUAUAUUUAUAUAACUAUCUAUAAUAUAUGUAUAAAGUAUCUGCAUUGAGUUGCAUCUGAAAUAGUAAAAUACUGACAUAUUAAAUCUUUUCCAGGUCAGUUAUCUGUAUUGAAUGGCUGGAGAAUACAAACCUAGUACAAAUGUAUAUAGAGGAAUGAAGAGGCCUCACAUAUAACUGACUGUCAUUGGGUAAUUUUAUUAUUAACAAAAAAUUGAGAAUGGAAAUGGGGAAUGUGUCAAAGAGACAACAACCUGACCAAAGAGUAGAAAACAGCCAAAGACCACCAAUGGAUCUACAACACACUGAGAAAAUCCUACACACAGAGGCAUGCUUCAGCUACCACCUAAACAAAAAUGUGUACUACUCCCCGGAAACAUGUGGUCAAGGUGAUAAUGAAUGUUAUACUAGACUCCAAAAUUAAAAUGAACUAAAAUUAAAAAUCUUAAAAAAAUAACAAAGGCUAGAGACUCCUGACUUGGGACAGGCGCUAAAAUGCGGUGGGGUCAAACAUGUUUUGCAAGAUCUCAACCUAUCCUAAUACCUCUAUAGCUAGCCAUUGUAGAAAAACAAAAACAAUAUGCACAGUAAAUCUCAGUUUUAAAGAAGUCAUAGUCCUACAUUGUAUGUCAGAAUAGGCAAAAUGAUAGGAAAUAAAACAAAAUAAGCAAAAUGACAACUAUACAUAAAUUUACAAAGGACUACUAGCAGUUACUGACAUGUUCCUCAGACAUAUGUGAACUUAACUAAAUGUCAUACACUAUAUGUUUUAUCACUUUUUGACUUUUUUUUAGCACAUGAAAUAUAUAUUGUACCAUGUUUUUUUAAGAUUUUUUUUGUUGGUACCUUAUAAAUACUGGUAGGACAUGAAUUACCAAUAAGAAAAAUAAUUUCUUUGGUUUUAUUCCAAUACAGAUACAUGAAGUCAGACUAAAUGUUUUUGAACCUUGCAUAUCUACUUGAACUUGUUUCAUAGUUUAGCAAAAUUACUUUAUUCAGUAAAAUUUCUAAACAAAUGUAUAGUUUUGUAGACAUUGGCCUCAUAAAAAUUAGAUAUAGGAAGAUGUGGUGUGAGUGCCAAUGAGACAACUCUCCAUCCAAAUAACAAUUUAUAAAAGUAAACCAUUAUAGGUCAAUGUACGGCCUUCAACACAGAGCCUUGGCUCACACCGAACAAAAAGCUAUAAAGGACCCCAAAAUUACUAGUGUAAAACCAUUCAAACAGGAAAACCAACGGUCAAAUUGCAUUUUAUUAAACUUGGUCAAAUUAUAUUUCAGCAAAAGGCUUUGCCAUCCAAUACAUUUCAUCUUGGAUGAAAAAGAACAACAGUCUGAUGAUGGUGACAGGUCAAAUUUACCUAACAGGUAACACAUACAUACAUAACAUAUUUGUUUUAAGGUUUUAAGGCUAUUUAAACAUACAUGCAUGCAUAUUGGGACCAGGGAAGACACUUAGAGAUCCAAAGUUACAAUGUGUGGUUGGGUUAAUUGCAAUGAAAAUGUUAGUGAAAUUCUCAAUUGGCUUCUAUCAGUUGUAACCCUAUUAUGAAUGUGUUUUCCUGUGUACAAUGUGUGAUUAAAAGUAAGAGCCUAAGGCUUUAUAAUGCAUACUCCUUUUUAUUGCUUAAGUUUAAAUUUAACAAUAUUAACUAUAGUUGAAAAAUCUGUAUUUUUCAUCUGUUUUAUUUAUCCUUCCAUGGAUGGGCACUUGUUGUUUAACCUACAUGUACAUUAUUGUUAUGUUAGUUUAGUAAAUUAUUAAUAAUGGAUUAAACCCAGAUUUUGGUUAAAUAUAGCCUCCUUUUGUUGUGCUUGAUAUCCUGAUUUUUUUUAUAUAUUAAGAUAAGUAAGUUAACACUUAUAGACAUACUCCAACAAAUAUAAUAUUUUUUAACAACCAGUAUAUAUUUUAAAUGGAGAGCGUUGAAAGAGAGAGUCGAAAAAAAACAAUGCACAAAAACCAGAACAAAUUGAAACAAAUGCAUGACACAAGUGUGUUGAAAAACAAAAGGAAUGUUUCUCUGUUUAACGAGUUAUUGUAUGGACUACAAACACAAUACAAACCCUCUUAAAACCCAGGUUAUAUCAGGUGUUAAGAGUCAGCAUACACUGCUUGUAUAUGAUUUAUAGUUCAUAACAGUCUGUCAUUCUGUACCUCUGUCAAACCUUGUAAAUUAGCCAUACUUGGUAUAUAGAAUAAAGAUUAUUUGUACACAAUGAUUUUCAAUGUAAAGUUUCACACUAUAUAGGAAAAUAACUUUGUAUAAUUUUCAUAUUUCUGUUUCCUGUAAACUAGUAACGAUUACCAGUAUAGUUGUAUAGUUCUAAGCAUUUUGUCAAACAUAUAAACUUGUAAUAAUAUUCCCUGAACAUUUUGGUACAGGAUUGUGGGUAAAACUCUUAAAAUAUAAAUAUUUCUGUAACAAUUGUACAUGUAAUAACAAUUAACCACUUCAUGAUAUCCAUUACCAAAAAUGUUGUAUAGUCUGAUUAUAACCACAGAAUUUACUUUGCUUUUCAGAUACUAGUGAAGAAAUAAAGAAACAAGAGUAGACACCAUUUGACCAACUGUGCUUACAAUACUUGUGCAACAGUUGUGAUUGAUGUCCAUAUUACAUUGUAGUAUGAUAAUACUUUACAGCAUCAA